rnacentral:rRNA from 1 species
GGAUUCCCCGAGUAGCGGCGAGCGAAACGGGAAGAGCCCAGCGCUGAAUCCUGCAGCCCUGGCGGGCUGCCGGGAAAUGUAGCGUUCGGGAGGGAGAUUUUAAUUUAUAAUCGCGCGGUCAUUAGUCACGGCGGCCAGUCCAAGUCCAUCUUGAAGGGGGCCCUGCUUAUCCGUAGAGGGUGCUAGGCCCGUGGUGACGGUCGCCGGCCGCGCGGUCUUCCUCCCCAGAGUCGGGUUGCUUGAGAGUGCAGCCCUAAGCGGGUGGUAAACUCCAUCUAAGGCUAAAUACGACCACGAGA